rnacentral:rRNA from 1 species
UGGGGAAUAUUGCACAAUGGGCGCAAGCCUGAUGCAGCGACGCCGCGUGAGGGAUGAAGGCCUUCGGGUUGUAAACCUCUUUCGGCAGGGACGAAGCGCGAGUGACGGUACCUGCAGAAGAAGCGCCGGCCAACUACGUGCCAGCAGCCGCGGUAAUACGUAGGGGGCAAGCGUUGUCCGGAUUUACUGGGUGUAAAGGGCGCGCAGGCGGGAUAAAAAGUCAGUGGUGAAAUCCUACAGCUUAACUGUAGAACUGCCUUUGAUACUUUUAGUAUUGAGUUCGGGAGAGAGAGACGGAAUUCCAGGUGUAGUGGUGAAAUACGUAGAUAUCUGGAAGAACACCAGUUGCGAAGGCGGUCUCUUGGUCCGACACUGACGCUGAGGCGCGAAAGCGUGGGGAGCAAACA